UACGAAGGGGGCUAGCGUUGCUCGGAAUCACUGGGCGUAAAGGGUGCGUAGGCGGGUCUUUUAAGUCAGGGGUGAAAUCCUGGAGCUCAACUCCAGAACUGCCUUUGAUACUGAAGAUCUUGAGUUCGGGAGAGGUGAGUGGAACUGCGAGUGUAGAGGUGAAAUUCGUAGAUAUUCGCAAGAACACCAGUGGCGAAGGCGGCUCACUGGCCCGAUACUGACGCUGAUGCGCGAAAGCGUGGGGAGCAAACAGGG
rnacentral:rRNA from 1 species